UACGAAGGGGCUAGCGUUGCUCGGAAUCACUGGGCGUAAAGGGCGCGUAGGCGGUCUCUUAAGCGUGUGGUGAAAGCCCGGGCUCAACUCCGGGUCGGCCGUGCGAACUGGGGGACUGGAGCGUAUCAGAGGCGGGCGGAAUUCCGGGUGUAGCGGUGGAAUGCGUAGAGAUCCGGAAGAACACCGGUGGCGAAGGCGGUCCGC
rnacentral:rRNA from 1 species